UACGGAGGAUCCAAGCGUUAUCCGGAUUCAUUGGGUUUAAAGGGUGCGUAGGCGGAAUGAUAAGUCAGUGGUGAAAUCCUGCAGCUUAACUGCAGAACUGCCAUUGAUACUGUCAAUCUUGAGUAUAUUUGAUGUGGGCGGAAUGUGUCAUGUAGCGGUGAAAUGCUUAGAUAUGACACAGAACACCGAUUGCGAAGGCAGCUCACAAAAACUAUAACUGACG
rnacentral:rRNA from 1 species